CCACCUCCCCCAUGGGAUUAACCCACACUAAUUAUUCCACCCCCUCCAUAGGCUACUAAUUUAGGUAUUUGAUAUGUUAAUCCAACCUAUUUCAAUGGAUACCAAACACUUUUUGAGAUUAAUUACCAAUGAUAUCAAACACCCAUCUGAGAUUAGAAAUCAUGACUAAUCCACACUAAAUUAUCAGGAUAAUUUAUAUCCUGAUUAAUCCAAUACUGAAAAUCAA
rnacentral:lncRNA from 1 species